AUUGAACGCUGGCGGCAGGCCUAACACAUGCAAGUCGAGCGGAGCUGCGGACGGGCGGGUAAUGCCUAGGAAUCUGCCUGGCAUUGGGGGAUAACGUCAGGAAACGGGCCCUAAUAUCGUAUAAUAUUAGAUGUGCCUAGGACGGAUUAGCUAGCUGGUAGGGUAAAGGCCUACCAAGGCGACGAUCCGUAACUGAGCUGAGAGGAGGAUCAGCCACACUGGAACUGAGACACGGUCCAGACGCCUACGGGAGGCAGCAGUAGGGAAUAUUGGGCAAUGGGCGAAAGCCUGAUGGAGCCACGCCGCGUGUGUGAAGAAGGUCUUCGGAUUGUAAAGCUCUUUAAGUUGGGAAGCGGUACCAACUAAAAAAGCAACGGCUAACUUCGUGCCAGCAGCAGCGGUAAUAC
rnacentral:rRNA from 1 species